rnacentral:rRNA from 2 species
UGGUUUUGAUUUGAAAGGCGCUUUCGGGUGUCGCUGAUGGAUGGACCCGCGGUGCAUUAGCUAGUUGGUGAGGUAACGGCUCACCAAGGCCACGAUGCAUAGCCGACCUGAGAGGGGGAUCGGCCACAUUGGGACUGAGACACGGCCCAAACUCCUACGGGAGGCAGCAGUAGGGAAUCUUCGGCAAUGGACGAAAGUCUGACCGAGCAACGCCGCGUGAGUGAAGAAGGUUUUCGGAUCGUAAAACUCUGUUGUUAGAGAAGAACAAGGAUGAGAGUAACUGUUCAUCCCUUGACGGUAUCUAACCAGAAAGCCACGGCUAACUACGUGCCAGCAGCCGCGGUAAUACGUAGGUGGCAAGCGUUGUCCGGAUUUAUUGGGCGUAAAGCGAGCGCAGGCGGUUUCUUAAGUCUGAUGUGAAAGCCCCCGGCUCAACCGGGGAGGGUCAUUGGAAACUGGGAGACUUGAGUGCAGAAGAGGAGAGUGGAAUUCCAUGUGUAGCGGUGAAAUGCGUAGAUAUAUGGAGGAACACCAGUGGCGAAGGCGGCUCUCUGGUCUGUAACUGACGCUGAGGCUCGAAAGCGUGGGGAGCAAACAGGAUUAGAUACCCUGGUAGUCCACGCCGUAAACGAUGAGUGCUAAGUGUUGGAGGGUUUCCGCCCUUCAGUGCUGCAGCUAACGCAUUAAGCACUCCGCCUGGGGAGUACGACCGCAAGGUUGAAACUCAAAGGAAUUGACGGGGGCCCGCACAAGCGGUGGAGCAUGUGGUUUAAUUCGAAGCAACGCGAAGAACCUUACCAGGUCUUGACAUCCUUUGACCACUCUAGAGAUAGAGCUUCCCCUUCGGGGGCAAAGUGACAGGUGGUGCAUGGUUGUCGUCAGCUCGUGUCGUGAGAUGUUGGGUUAAGUCCCGCAACGAGCGCAACCCUUAUUGUUAGUUGCCAUCAUUCAGUUGGGCACUCUAGCAAGACUGCCGGUGACAAACCGGAGGAAGGUGGGGAUGACGUCAAAUCAUCAUGCCCCUUAUGACCUGGGCUACACACGUGCUACAAUGGGAAGUACAACGAGUCGCGAAGUCGCGAGGCUAAGCUAAUCUCUUAAAGCUUCUCUCAGUUCGGAUUGCAGGCUGCAACUCGCCUGCAUGAAGCCGGAAUCGCUAGUAAUCGCGGAUCAGCACGCCGCGGUGAAUACGUUCCCGGGCCUUGUACACACCGCCCGUCACACCACGAGAGUUUGUAACACCCGAAGUCGGUGAGGUAACCUUUUGGAGCCAGCCGCCUAAGGUGGGAUAGAUGAUUGGGGUGAAGUCGUAACAAGGUAGCCGUAUCGGAAGGUGCGGCUGGAUCACCU